AAAGUCGUAACAAGGUCUCCGUUGGUGAACCAGCGGAGGGAUCAUUACAGAGUGUCAAAACUCCCAAACCCCUGUGAACAUACCACUGUUGCUUCGGCGGGUACGCCCCGGGCGCCUCAGCGUGCCCCGGAACCAGGCGCCCGCCGAGGGACUCAAACUCUUGCCUUUCCAGUAUCGUCUGAGUGGACUUGAUAAAUUAAUCAAAACUUUCAACAACGGAUCUCUUGGCUCUGGCAUCGAUGAAGAACGCAGCGAAAUGCGAUAAGUAAUGCGAAUUGCAGAAUUCAGUGAAUCAUCGAAUCUUUGAACGCACAUUGCGCCCGCUAGUAUUCUGGCGGGCAUGCCUGUCUGAGCGUCAUUUCAACCCUUCGCACCGCGGCCCCCGGGUCGCGGCGCGGUGUUGGGCAUCGGCUCGCCGUCUCCACGGCGGACCGUCCCCUAAAUAUAGUGGCGACCACGCCGUAGCCUCCUCUGCGCAGUACACACAAGCCUCGCAGGCGGAGAGCGGUGCGGCCACGCCGUAAAACCCCACAAACUUUCAAGGUUGACCUCAGAUCAGGUAGGAAUACCCGCUGAACUUAAGCAUAUCAAUAAGCGGAGGAAAAGAAACCAACAGGGAUUGCCUCAGUAACGGCGAGUGAAGCGGCAACAGCUCAAAUUUGAAAUCUGGCUCUAGGGCCCGAGUUGUAAUUUGCAGAGGAUGUUUCUGGCGAGGUGCCUUCCGAGUUCCUUGGAACAGGACGCCGAAGAGGGUGAGAGUCCCGUCCGGUUGGUCGCUAAGCCUAUGUGAAACUCCUUCGACGAGUCGAGUAGUUUGGGAAUGCUGCUCUAAAUGGGAGGUAUACGUCUUCUAAAGCUAAAUACCGGCCAGAGACCGAUAGCGCACAAGUAGAGUGAUCGAAAGAUGAAAAGCACUUUGAAAAGAGGGUUAAAUAGUACGUGAAAUUGUUGAAAGGGAAGCGUUUAUGACCAGACUUGGGCCGGUUGAUCAUCCAUCGUUCUCGGUGGUGCACUCUGCCGGCUCAGGCCAGCAUCAGUUUGACCUGGGGGAUAAAGGUUUCGGGAAUGUGGCUCCCCCCGGGGAGUGUUAUAGCCCGUUGCGUAAUACCCUGGGUUAGACUGAGGUUCGCGCUCCGCAAGGAUGCUGGCGUAAUGGUCAUCAGCGAC
rnacentral:rRNA from 1 species